rnacentral:rRNA from 1 species
UAUGUGAUCGUCUCUCGCAUAUCAAUAAGCGGAGGAAAAGAAACUAACAAGGAUUCCCCUAGUAACGGCGAGUGAAGCGGGAAGAGCUCAAAUUUGAAAUCUUAAAGGGUUUCCCUUUACGAAUUGUAGUUUAAAGAAGUGUUUUCUGUUGAGGUUUUGGUAAAAGUUCUUUGGAAUAGGACAUCAUAGAGGGUGAGAAUCCCGUAUUUGACCUUUACUUUCAACUUUGUGAUACACUUUCAAAGAGUCGGAUUGUUUGGGAAUGCAGUCCAAAAUGGGUGGUAAAUUUCAUCUAAAGCUAAAUAUUGGCGAGAGACCGAUAGCGAACAAGUACCGUGAGGGAAAGAUGAAAAGAACUUUGAAAAGAGAGUUAAACAGUACGUGAAAUCGUCAAAAGGGAAGCGUUUGACACCAGUGUUGUUUUUCUGAAAAUCAAUUAAAGAACUGUUUAUGCUAAGCUGUUUAGACUUUAUCAGCUAUCUGUUUAGUUUUGAGCCUUUUCUUUAAUGCACUUUUCAGUUAACAAGGUCAACAUCAAUUUCUUUUGCUGUAAAAAAGCUUGAGGAAGGUGGCUUGAGAUUCGUCUUAAGUGUUUAUAGCCUCUUGCCUAUGCAGUCGGAGAGAUUGAGGUCUGCAGCGUAGAUCCUUCGGGGCUAAAUGCAUUUGUGCUAAGUUAUAGCAUUUUAUAGACAACUUGUUGACUAUGAUUUGUCUUGUAGCUUACUCGCUUAUGUUAUUUUACCUACGCUUAGGAUGUUGAACGCGCACAGAGUCUC